AACGAACGCUGGCGGCAGGCUUAACACAUGCAAGUCGAGCGGAGAUGAGGUGCUUGCACCUUAUCUUAGCGGCGGACGGGUGAGUAAUGCUUAGGAAUCUGCCUAUUAGUGGGGGACAACAUUCCGAAAGGAAUGCUAAUACCGCAUACGUCCUACGGGAGAAAGCAGGGGAUCUUCGGACCUUGCGCUAAUAGAUGAGCCUAAGUCGGAUUAGCUCGUUGGUGGGGUAAAGGCCUACCAAGGCGACGAUCUGUAGCGGGUCUGAGAGGAUGAUCCGCCACACUGGGACUGAGACACGGCCCAGACUCCUACGGGAGGCAGCAGUGGGGAAUAUUGGACAAUGGGGGAAACCCUGAUCCAGCCAUGCCGCGUGUGUGAUGAAGGCCUUAUGGGUGUAAAGCACUUUAAGCGAGGAGGAGGCUACUGAGACUAAUACUCUUGGAUAGUGGACGUUACUCGCAGAAUAAGCACCGGCUAACUCUGUGCCAGCCGCCGCCGUAAAAC
rnacentral:rRNA from 1 species